GUCUAUGGCCAUACCACCCUGAACACGCCCGAUCUUGUCUGAUCUCGGAAGUUAAGCAGAGUCGGGCCUGAUUAGUACUUGGAUUGGAGAAUCCCUAAGAAUAUAACACUCGCUGUGCCU
rnacentral:rRNA from 1 species